UCGAAUGUCAAAGCAAAGAUGGCGUUGAUUCCUGUUGUGUCAGGUGUUUAAAGUUUCCUUUAAAUUUGUUCGAAACCUGACAUUCCACACGGUUGCGAUACUUCGAUUUCUCAUUUACGUCAUUCUUAACCCUGUCGAAGAUCGUUAACUGAAAAGAAACGUGGAGGCGUCUGUCAAGAAUCACGUGUUAUAUCGGCCGCUAGUGGUAUCUUACACUUAACCUCAGCAUUCAUCGAAUACUGUACGAUCAUUUCGGAAUUUGGCAAAAAUUUCAAGCAGUUCGCGUCAAUGUUGCUUCUCCUGCCAAAAAAGAGACUAAAAGUUUACAUCGAUUAAUGAGGGGAAGAUAUCAACGGUGAUUGUUAAUGUUAUACAAUAAAAGAAAAGUUUGAAAGGUUUUCUUAAACCUCGAAUUUCGGUUUCACGCUUUAAAGUUUUGUUUACAAGGCAGUGUAUCGUUCCUGAGUUGUCAAACAUAUUUAUUUGAAUGCUGAUUAAAUUUACACCCGGGUGAAAUGCCUAAAAUAAAAACCAGGCAAGCAAAUAGCCUUUGGUUAAGGCAACGUGAACUGGGUAUAAGAUUUCCUCUGGGACAUGCAGAUUGUUUUCAUAGAACCCUUUAUUCUUCCAUACAACCUGUAACUUCUUGGGAUCAUGCAUUGUCUGAUGCCGCUCAUGGUGGGGUCUUCAACCUUGAAUAUUCUCCAGAUGGUUCUUUACUAUUGGCAGCAUGCGAGAAGAAAAGUAUUCUUAUGUUCGAUCCUUUGAGUAGGAGAUUAAUUCACGCGAUUGAUAACGCUCAUGACGAUUGUGUCAAUUGUGUUAGGUUCUUAGAUCAACGUAUGUUUGCAACAUGUUCAGAUGACAGUACAGUAGCUCUUUGGGAUGCUAGAAAUUUAAAACAAAGGAUAAAAACAUUGCAGGGUCAUUCGAAUUGGGUUAAAAAUAUAGAGUAUAGUCCCAAAGAUAGUUUACUGUUAACCAGUGGAUUUGACGGUAGCAUAUAUACUUGGGAUAUCAAUAGUUUUACAGAAAAUAAUAUUCUACAUACUCGUGUAUUUCAUACAAAUGGACUGAUGCGUACUAGACUUAGUCCAGAUGCCAGUAAGAUGUUAAUAAGUACCACCUCCGGAUACCUCAUCAUCAUACAUAAUCUUAAGUUAAGCACGUUAACUCAAGAUUUGGCAGGAUUUAGACCAAACAUGUACCGAUUAAUGCAGUCAUCUCAAACAACAAUACCAAACGUGGCGAGCUUCACGCAUCUCUUUUCCCAUUCUCGUACGCAUAAUAGAGUAGAAUUUUUAACCGAUUUCCCCGCUGGGGACGAUGCAGAAAUAAUAUCUAGUUUGCAAGUGCAUCCUCAAGGGUGGUGUGUCUUGUCUAGGAAUGUCAGUACCUCAGAGAGAUCCGAGUGGACUUGUGUUCACGACAUACAAGAGCGUGACGUAUCCUGCGCAACAGACCAGAGUAGGGAAGAAGAAGAAACCACGUCUCAAUUUAACGAAGUACCCGUAGAAGAAUUCGAAGACUUUCCGCAACCGCAAUCCUCUCGUUCAGGUAUAACAUCAUCGUUUUUAAUCGAAAGCCCGAACAAUCGUGUCAGAGUAGUUCACACUACGUCCGACACGAGAUCGAAUUCGGUCGGAUCCUCGGACAACGCGCAGUCGGUUCGGUUAUCGAGGAACAAUUGGCAACCGACGUUUCGUCGGGCAUCUCGAUUGCAAUUGAGAAACUUGCGUUUGGACAGAUACGCGUCCCGAACAAAUUUUAAUACGGUAGAAGCUGGAUCAGGUUCAGGUGCAAGUUCAGACUCACGAGUAAGUGCAGACCGAGACAACAGGCAGGAGAACAGGUACAUGUACGGAGCAGACAAUAACGAGAGUAUGCAAGAGGAUGCUUCCAGCGAUCAGGACAGAGAUUCGAGUUUGUAUUACUGGCUACCAAGACCGAAUUCUCACCUGAACUACCUGCGACCACGUAACAUGAUAGACGACUUUUCUACCGGUAAUAUAGAACUACAUGUAAGUACAACCGACGUGUGGGAAGCGCACGUGGCAGUUAGGGAAGCCAGACUCAGAAGAGAGAGACAUCGAGAUGCCAGAUCGAACAACAACGCCGUGGUGAUCAUAAGCGAUCGGAUCAGAGUUCAGAAUCGAAAUAGACAAGGUCAACGGACGAUGUUCGCCAUUCCCAGAAAUCGUAUGAUCCAUCAGAAUACUCCUAGGUUAACGCAUUACAUCGAGGAGCCUAACGUUGGCUCCGGUUACAUCAAAGAACUUUGUUUUUCUGCCGAUGGCCGACUGAUAUGUUCACCUUUUGGAUACGGCGUACGAUUGUUAUCAUUCUCUAGCGACUGUUCAGAACUGUCCAACUGUGUUCCACCGUUUAACGAGUCUGUACAGUUGCACGAGUUGGCGGCCAACAUUAGUCACACUGGCAUCGUAGUCAGUACAAAGUUUUCCCCUAGGCAUUGUUUGCUCGUGUCGGGUUGCCUGGGUGGAACGAUCGUUUGGCAUCAACCGGUGGUUUAGUGAAAUCUAUUACAAAUCUUUUAGCAAAUUAUUACUUUUUUCUAAAGGAAUGUCUCGAGAAGACAUAUGCAACUUGCCGUUUUCUUUUCCGUUGUCUUUUGUUUUUACUUCUUUACUCUUUCUUUUACAUUACCUCGAUAGUCUUACAAAUUUUUUUGAGUAUAUACUUUUUGAUAAAGCUUACCUUUUUUUAACGUGUCUUAGGUUCAAGGUAUAAUUUAUUAAGAAUCAUUGUUAUUUUCCUUUAACGUUAAACAUUUUUUUUAUCGAAGCAUCAUGAACAAUGAAACGCGAAAGGUAUUUUAUACGGAAUUAGUUUUCGGAAAUAAUUUAAACAAGGAAAGAAUUACGAUGAUAUUUUAAGUAUCAUUUCGGACAAGAAAUUAUUCAAUAAGUUGUACGUUCGAGCAAUUUCGAUCAAUAGUAUUUUUGUUCUUAACGAUACAGACAUAGAUUCAUACAAAUAGCAAAUCGUUGCAGUAAUAAUUUCACGGCCAGAGUACUUUCUUCCCUAUUUUAUCAACGUGGAACACGCGUCGAAACAAGGAGUUCGAAUCGUACAUCUCAGAAACAUUCCUGCUUACUUUCAGUUGUACAUAUUCUCGUAACACAGCGAUUUGCAUUUGUAACAAAAAUUCAGAUCAGAAACAAUUACGCGCGUGUAGUUGUUUAUUCUUCGUUGAAACUCGAUUGGUGCAAUGUUACGUUUUUAGUCGGUUCGAUUUUGUAACGUCUUGUACAUUGUCUGGCAACGAUCGAAAGAGCGGUUCAAGUUUUCUCUUUAACACUCGAAAACGAAAAGACAAAAGCGAUGCAAUAACACGCGAACAGAAACUCUUUGCUUCUCUGUAUUAUUUGCGAAAGUUGUCUGCUAGACUGUAAAAAGGAAGGAAGGUAUAAACUUUGCAGCAUGAAAUUAUCGUGCAAAGAGAUUAACCUCGCUGAAGAACGUGUCUUUUGGCGUUAUCGUUAGUAUUCAAUUAAUUAGCCGCGUAACUAGUUAUUAAGUAGAGUAGAUUUUCGUUAUAUUGUCGUAGAUGGCCAUAGAACGCGUAGCGAUAUGAAACGUGGAUACCUACGGUGGCGUAGGAGUUCGGGUAAAGGUGGCAAUAUAACGAGAGUCUUACUGUUCUCUGAAAUUUUGACUGAUCAGGUACCAAAUUUGUAUUGUUGGUUCAUGGAACAAGGCCUUUUAACGAUUCUUAUCGAAUUAUCGGCGCGUUUCGUCGAGCAAGUUAUUGUAUCUUAAUGCUUACUGGACUGCGACUAUGUCAAGUUCGUUGCCAUAAAUUAACAUUAUGAGCUACUUAGGAAGCACGAAACGCGUUGAAAGUAACUAGAAUUGAAAGUUAAAGUCGUGUAAUCAUAAGCAUUAACGAGUAAUCGAAUUCUCGUUGUUAUCAAUUUGAAAUACCAAGUUAAUAUCGAACCACGACAGGAUAAUAAUUCUUUGAAAGCAUGAAAAUCGGUAACAAACGAAUUAUGUACGAAAUUUUAGCGACUGUUUUGCGACUAUUAUAAGCGAUCGUAAGUUUUAGAGACGUUCUUCGACAAGGAGCAUUCUGUGAUCGUGGAAUUCGUAUGUUUCAUGAUACACCUUACAUUUGAACUCGUCGACUGGAAUUUGUAUCGUUGAAUAGAGGAGAAGUUGUGUAAUAUAUGUAAAUACAUCGUCGACUUAGAAUAUGUAUAAUGGUGUAUGUAAUAAUGCGUGUAUUACUUUUUAAGACGAAAUCGAGUCAAAUCGUGGCCAAAAAGGAGCGGCCAAUAUUCGUGUGGAGUUUGUUGAUUUUUUGAGAAAAAAAACUUGAUUCCACGCUUUUGGAAUCUAGAUAGUUUGAUAAUGUAUUUUUUUUUUCGAACGAAUCAUAGACUUUCUAAUCGGAAUAUUUUGUAAUGGUCCGUCGAAGAAUGUUAUCAGACAGUUAACGAAACAUCUAAAUUGUAAAUGCGAAUAUAAUUGAUCGAUGACAUUUGCUUCGAAACGUUCGAUUAACAAAAAUUUUUAACGACAGGUGGACUAUUGGUACAGCUGUCGAUUCGUAAGCGGUUACCUUUUUCACUUUUAUCCGAGAAAGGCGUGAAUGUUCAGGGACAACAGCGUACCCUUGAUUACCGUGUUCCAAUCGACAAACGUGAUCGAACCCAUUAGCUGAACCGGUUGAUCGUCGCUCGUAACGUUCUUCUAUUAUAAUUAUACGAUUGUGUACAGUAGUUAGUGUGCUGAUUUGUUUGUAAGAUUUCUUUGUUUUUUCUUUUUUUUCUAUACAAUAAACUAUUGCUUAACGUCUAACGUUGCACUUUCUUAUAAUCGUUAUCCAUCGCGUGUUCUCAUGAGCGCGACAGUUUUUUUUAAUAUUUCGAUACUUAAAUAAAAUAAACGAAUAGAAAAUAUUCGUUUUGAAUCUUUCAAGAAGAAUGGAACGCUGAUGAUUGCAACUAACCGCUUGAUAAAGUUGUAAGAAGCCGUCAUCGUUGAGUCAUAAAGGAAUUCCUUUCCUGUUGAUUACAAAUUACUCACAAAUUGUUUUGCUAUUUUAGUCCAACAUGACGCUGACAUUAUACUUCCUUUUCCGUUUCUCAACUUUUCUAUUUCUUACGGUUCGUUGCAGAGACAACAAUGGCAAGAAAAAUAAAGGGAGGAACAUUGUAUCCAUUACACAAUUUAUUAACAAUCAACUUAUGUACAGAGCUGGAGAUCCGAUGAGCGCAAAUGACACAAAUUUGUCUUUUAUCCAAUACUAUUGCUCGUCUUGGAAGCUUCUUUCUCGUAUGAUAAAAGGGCAAAUAAUUCGUGAAUAAAUAACUGAAUAAAUAAGUAAAUCAU
rnacentral:misc_RNA from 1 species